rnacentral:rRNA from 1 species
AUUGAACGCUGGCGGCAUGCUUUACACAUGCAAGUCGAACGGUAACAGGGAGCUUGCUCCGCUGACGAGUGGCGAACGGGUGAGUAAUGCAUCGGAACGUACCCAGUCGUGGGGGAUAACGUAGCGAAAGUUACGCUAAUACCGCAUACGUCCUGAGGGAGAAAGCGGGGGACCGAAAGGCCUCGCGCGAUUGGAGCGGCCGAUGUCGGAUUAGCUAGUUGGUAGGGUAAAGGCCUACCAAGGCGACGAUCCGUAGCGGGUCUGAGAGGAUGAUCCGCCACACUGGGACUGAGACACGGCCCAGACUCCUACGGGAGGCAGCAGUGGGGAAUUUUGGACAAUGGGUGCAAGCCUGAUCCAGCAAUGCCGCGUGCAGGAUGAAGGCCUUCGGUUGUAACUGCUUUGUACGGAGCGAAAAGGUCUCUUCUAAUACAGGAGGCCCGAUGACGGUACCGUAAGAAUAAGCACCGGCUAACUACGUG